CACGUAGGGCGCGAGCGUUGUCCGGAAUUAUUGGGCGUAAAGAGCUCGUAGGCGGCCUGUUGCGUCCGCUGUGAAAAGCCCGGGGGCUUAACCCCCGGGUCGGCAGUGGAUACGGGCAGGCUAGAGGUAGGUAGGGGAGAAUGGAAUUCCCGGUGUAGCGGUGAAAUGCGCAGAUAUCAGGAGGAACACCGGUGGCGAAGGCGGGUCUCUGGGCCGUAACUGACGCUGAGGAGCGAAAGCGUGGGGAGCGAACAGG
rnacentral:rRNA from 1 species